rnacentral:tRNA from 1 species
UGUGGUGUAGCUCAGUGGCAGAGCGCUUUUCUCGUGUGCUCCUGGCCCUGGGUUCAAUCCCCAGCACCAAAA